rnacentral:lncRNA from 1 species
AAAGAUUGGCCUUACGUUCAUGUCUCAGCAUAACUUAAGUCAGGAAACUUAACCAUAAAACGGACAAACACGACCGACUAAACAAACGGACUUUGGCAACAGCCUCGAAACCGAACCAAAGAAACCACGCUUUCAGAAGUGUCAAGCUCUAACCAUCAACCGGAUCCAAUGCAUAAUCGUCGGUAACAAGAUUGUGAGUUUUGCCACGUGAGCCGUGAACGAAGUUCCACAGAUCUGAAAGGAGAAAACCGGAUCAGACGAAUCCCUUC